GACGAACGCUGGCGGCGUGCCUAAUACAUGCAAGUCGAGCGCAGGAAAUCGACGGAACCCUUCGGGGGGAAGUCGACGGAAUGAGCGGCGGACGGGUGAGUAACACGUAAAGAACCUGCCCCCAGGUCUGGGAUAACCACGAGAAAUCGGGGCUAAUACCGGAUGGGUCAUCGGACCGCAUGGUCCGAGGAUGAAAGGCGCUUCGGCGUCGCCUGGGGAUGGCUUUGCGGUGCAUUAGCUAGUUGGUGGGGUAAUGGCCCACCAAGGCGACGAUGCAGAGCCGACCUGAGAGGGUGAUCGGCCAGACUGGGACUGAGACACGGCCCAGACUCCUACGGGAGGCAGCAGUAGGGAAUCUUCCACAAUGGACGAAAGUCUGAUGGGGCAACGCCGCGUGAACGAUGAAGGCCUUCGGGUCGUAAAGUUCUGUUGUAAGGGAAGAACAAGUGCCGCAGGCAAUGGCGGCACCUUGACGGUACCUUGCGAGAAAGCCACGGCUAACUACGUGCCAGCCGCCGCAGUAA
rnacentral:rRNA from 1 species